AUGAUAUUGUGUCCGGUUGACUGUGUUUCAAAUGUUCGCUGAUAGUCUAAGAGGAUCAAUAGAGACAUAAAAAUUUAUUUAAAAAAUUAUUUAAAGCAUUGUAAAUACAAUACUAAUAAACAUAACUGAGCAGCAGGACUACUCGCUGUGCUAAUAUAUAAAACAACAGGUGCUAUCGAGUAAUAUGAAAUAAGAGAGAUCAAGCAACCGAGAAAGAAAAGGAAUAAAAAGAGAAGGCACAAUGGAUUCUUGAAUAAUAAUAUUGUACAAUUUGUAUUCCAUUGGCAGUCUAUACUAGCCACACUUUCUUGACUGUUAUUUAAAAAUGUCAGAGAAAGAUGACGAUGACGAUGAGGGCG